rnacentral:sRNA from 1 species
AGAAACCCAAAAAGGAGGACGGCAGCCCCAAGGAGGAGACCGACAAGUGGUCAGUGGAGAAGGGCAAGGACCACAAAGAGCCCCGAAAGGGCGAGGAGGUGGAGGAGGAGUGGACGCCUACGGAGAAAGUCAGUAUCCCUGCAGGGCCAUUGUGCAGACGGUCCCCAUCUGGAUGACAUCUGUGGCUACGCCCUGGGGGACCUCUACCUGUGAUUUCACAUGUGUCCCCUGAGAGCUGGGCAUGGUCAGCCCAUUCUCCAGAUGGGGCAGCUGAGGCCCAGGGAGGGGAAGCACAGGCUGGGAUUGGAAGCAGCUCCUGGCCUGGCUUUGAGUCGAUUCCAGGUGGGCUGGUGCAGGGCACCAGGGAGCCACCAGCUGACCAGAGCUGCCCUCUGACUGGUGCCCCCGAUGUGCUGGGAGUGGGCUCUGGGCUCCUUGGUUCUGUGUUUGGUGGAGGGAAGGAUGGAGCUAGUGAGCCACCAGUCUGGGGUACGCAUCCUCAGAGUGUCCCCCCAUUGGGAUGGAGUCACACCGUAUCGAGGACAACCAGAUCC